rnacentral:tRNA from 1 species
CAGAGGGUAGUUUAAUUUAGAAUCUUAGCUUU